UACGUAGGUGACAAGCGUUGUCCGGAUUUACUGGGCGUAAAGAGCUCGUAGGCGGUCUGUCGCGUCGGCUGUGAAAACCCGGAGCUCAACUCCGGGCCUGCAGUCGAUACGGGCAAACUGGAGUGUUGCAGGGGAGACUGGAAUUCCUGGUGUAGCGGUGAAAUGCGCAGAUAUCAGGAGGAACACCGGUGGCGAAGGCGGUUCUCUGGGCAUGAUCUGACGCUGAGGAGCGAAAGUGUGGGGAGCGAACAGG
rnacentral:rRNA from 1 species